GGCCGGGCUCUGCUCCUCCAUGUCUGGGGCCCUAACGCGCAGCAGGAGGUGGAGACCACGCAAAAGCCAACAGCUGGGAUCGUUGGAAGGUUCUUUCACUCUCGUGUCUGUGGUUGCUGCCAGGGAUUGGCCGGGCUGCCAGGACACCACCUCCACCCCUCCGCCCACCCCUGCCCCUCCAUGAGGCCUGGGCGUCCUCACAAUGUAGCCACCAGUUCCAAGACCAAGCCUUCUGAUAGAGCCAGCCGUAUCUUCUGUUGUGACCGAGGCUCAUAGUCACAUAGUGUCACAUCUACCACCCAGAUUCAGGGGAGGGACACAGCCGACACCCUGGGAGAAGGGUAAAGAAUUCGCCAACGUGUUUGGGAUCUCUCCACCUGGGGACCUCGUCCCUGACUGACGAAAUGCCUUCUGCCCUUUCAGUCGGCGCCUCCCCGCCGUCAGAAGCAGCGGAUAUUCUGCUUCAAGUCUGGCUGUGUGUGGGGCCAGGGGUCUCGCUUCUGUGGGCAUGGAUCCUUGACUGCAUUUAAGUUUUAACAACUAUGUGACCCGAGCAGAUGAGGCCCCACGUCUUCACGGAGGUGGCGUUUCUCUGCAGCAAAACCAGCAGGACAUCCAACAGCCACGCCAUGUGACCCACGUGGCCGCCACGGCCCUGUGUCAGUGGCCAGAGUCACGGGUGCCGUCGCUGAGGCUCCUGGAGCGGCACAGGCAGUCACGAUAGGACCGGAGCUCCCCGCGUGGAUGACCCAGGUCGUUUUGCAGAAGGAACAAGUGGAGCAUCUCCAGGUGAGGAGCUAAUGCUGGCAUGGAGUCUGGCCCCCUCGGACCCAGGACGGCUGACGCCGGGCUAUGCAGAGCAACAGUGCCGAGCGCUGGCACGGCCUGAGCAGGCACCACCACGGAUGGGGAUGGGACGUGCCCUGGAGCAGGGCCCACAGGGGCGACGGCCUGGCUGCCCGCUGCACAGCAUCCCCUGCUCCUCUCCAGUCGCUGCUCCUCCGGCUCCUUCCAGGCCUCUGCCCUUGUCCCCCGACACUGAGGUCCCCGAGGAGUGGACGCCUGCAACCCUCCCUCACACCCAGCAGUCCCCGUUCUGCAUCCGUGGCCGUCCGACAGCCGCCUCCUGGGCCAAGGACGUCAUUAACCCAGCGUCACGCCUGAGUCCACCAUGCACACAUGCAACACGCAUGCACACCCUCGUGCACAUGUGUGUGCACAUGCACAGACAUACGCCCAAUAAGGCACACCUGUAGACACAAGCAAGUGUGUGUGUGAACACGCGGACACACACAGUCCCUCACAGUGCUUGUUGUUUGGGGUUCACGGCCUCCAGUGGGACCUCUGCGUGCCAUUUCUAUCUUGUCCACCCUGGAGGGUGUCGUCCACUGCUGUGGACGGUGGCGCCCCUGCCCCAGGACAUGCUGGCACUGAGACCUGCCCCGACUCCAGCUCCUGGCGGCACAGCUGUACUGGGGCCUCAUUUGGAGACAGGCUCUUCGCAGAGUAAUUGAAGUGGGAAUCUCCAUGUGAAAUUGUCCUGGGUUAGGGUGGGCCCGAAGUCCAGAGGCUGGUAUCCUGAAAAGAGGAGAGGAAGGGAGUGAUCGGAGCACGUGGAAGGCAGGCUGUGAGGACAGAGCAGAGAGCGGGUUGCAGUGUCCACAGCCCGGAGCUGGACAGGCAGGAACAGGCUCUCCUCGGAGCCUCGGAGAGGACUCAGCCCUGGACACCCGCCUCUCGGACCUCCGGCCUCCAGACUCAGAGAGGAUCAAUUUAUGUUCUAAGCCGCCCCAUUUAUGGGAAUUCGUUGCAGCUGCCUCAGGAGACGCAACCAAAGAUUUUAAAACAAGAUCCAAAUGUGAACAGUAGAAACAAUUAGCAUCAUGAGUAAACAAAGGGGCCCCUUACCUGUGUGUGCCAUAUUGGGGUCCCCGCCGUCACAGGGUCAGACGAGCAGCGUCUGUGGGAGACGGGGGGUCUGCUCGCUGUUGCCGGGCUUCACAAAUCCCUCCUCUGGCCAAUUGUUGCCCCAAUGUUGUCGGAGCUUCCAAAAUUUUAAAGAAAACUGGAAACUACAAAUUCCAUGUGAAAUUUCUCCAUAUUUAAAUGCUGGCAAGAAGCAGGCAUGUAUUAAAAUGCUGCGGGUUGACGCUGUGUCCAAGACCCCUGGAACAGCGUUUCCGAGCCCCCUGGGGGCUCACACCAGCUCUUCCCUGCAGAGCGGCCACCUGGAAACAGCUCCCACAGACCACGUGGCCCCCGCCGGAGCCGGCGCGCUGUAGCUGAGGAGCCGAGGGUCAGUUUCCAGGCCUCUUGGGAGCUGUGGGCAUCACGCUGGAGGCUUGACACGGGUCGUGGUGGGAGUGUCCACACCACAGGAAUUGGCAAAGGCUGCAGAUCCGCCUGUCCCUCCACCCCCACCCCACAGCCCAGAGCCCCUUGUUAACCACUGGCUCCCAGCACACCAGGAACCUGGGGCCCAGACGCCCGCCCGCCAGGGCCCCUGUGGCCCUUUCUUCCCCACGAGAGCUGCCUUUUUCCGUGCAAAGGACCGCAGGAAGGAGGACUCCUGUCAGUUUGCAACAGUCGCCUGUCGCCUUGAAUCCACGAACCCAGGACUCCUAGCUCACUGGGGCAGCCCAGCUCUCUCCUCCUCCUGGGUGUGGUGGGACCCCUCCCUGGCCAAUCGCGUCACAGUGGCCGGGCCCCACUGUGGCCAGGACGGUGCGAGAGAGGCUCUCCCGGGCUUACUAAGGGGCCGAGAUGCAAACCACAGCUCCUGCAGCAGUUCUGGGAGGGAGCCCGCCCGAGAGGAAGUCAGCGCAAGAAGGCAGAAUCGAGAGAGGAGGGAGGGAGAGGAAGAGAGACACUCGCACACACAUGGCACGUGCGCAGUACAUACACACGUGUGUGCAGCCAGUCCCCGUUGUUCAAGGAGUCCGUACUUGCAAACGCGUCUGCCCACUAGAAUCUGUUUCCAACCCCAAAAUCAAUUCUCAUGGCUUUUUGAUAGUCAUUUGCAGACACAGGCAGAGCAGCAAAAACCGAGUGGCCUGACACGCCCAUUCCCAACUGAGAAGGACCAGGCAACACGCUGCCUUCUGGGUCACUCUCCACUGCCAACAUGUCUUUCUGUCUAUUUAAUGCCAUGUUUUUCACAGAUCUGUGCGUUUCAUUGGUCAUUUCACUGUUUAACCCAAGCGCAGAGCUGAAGUGCCGUGCAGUGUUCUGAGCACAAGAAGGCUGCCACGUGCCGGCAGAGAGGAGGCGCAUGUUAGAUGGUCCUUGUUCGGGAUGAAUAACAACGCUGUUGGCUGAGAGGUCAGUGUUACUGAAUCAACAAUAUAGAUUAAAUCAGGUGUCUUUAAACAGAAACACACAUCAGACAAAGUGAUGUUCUGAUCAGUUGAUGAAACAUUGUGACCUAAGGCUCACAGGAACCCGAUCCCGCUUUUCUCCAGGAGCAACAGUUCAGUGUCCACCACUUCGGUGUUUGCAGCGACUUUACAGAACGUAACUAUGAAGAAUGAUGAUAGGCCAUACGCACACGUGUGUGUGUGUGUGUGUGUGUGUGUGUACAGAGAGAGAGAGAGAGAGAGGGAGAGAGGUGGAUUUCAACGACACAAUUUAAGCCCCUGGAUCCAGCCAUGCCUGAAGCUCUGGAUCCAUCUCGUGAC
ensembl:lncRNA